rnacentral:rRNA from 1 species
ACAUGCUUACAACAUAGUGUUAAUGCACGAAAUACCAGUAAAACUCUACAGUUAAGAACACUUAGGCUAGAGUAGUACUGGAAUGGGUGACCGCCUGGGAAGUCCUAGUGUUUUACAUGCA